AUGCCACUAAGCAAACUGGAUUCGGUUAAGGAUUGGUGGAGUCAAAAUGCCACCAACCAAACUCCAUCGAGAAGGCCGCUUGUCUCCCUGAUGAUGCUUAUCUCCUGGGAAAUAUGAAAGGAGCGAAACGCUAGAGUUUUCCACAACAUGGCCGUUCCAGUGAGAGUGUUGGUCGCCAAGAUUAAAGAGGAAUGCUCGCUUUGGAGCCUCGCGGGAGCAAAACAUUUGUGUAACAUUAUGUCAUGA
rnacentral:rRNA from 1 species